UACGGGGGGAGCAAGCGUUGUUCGGAUUUACUGGGCGUAAAGGGCGCGUAGGCGGUCAGCACAAGUCAGUUGUGAAAUCUCCGGGCUUAACUCGGAAAGAUCAACUGAUACUGUGCGACUAGAGUGCAGAAGGGGCAACUGGAAUUCUCGGUGUAGCGGUGAAAUGCGUAGAUAUCGAGAGGAACACCUGCGGCGAAGGCGGCAUCCUGGACCAACACUGACACUGAUGAGCGAAAGCCAGGGGAGCAAACGGG
rnacentral:rRNA from 1 species